UACGGGGGGGGGCAAGCGUUGUUCGGAAUUACUGGGCGUAAAGGGCUCGUAGGCGGCCAACUAAGUCAGACGUGAAAUCCCUCGGCUUAACCGGGGAACUGCGUCUGAUACUGGCUGUCUUGAGUUCGGGAGAGGUGAGUGGAAUGCCGAGUGUAGAGGUGAAAUUCGUAGAUAUUCGGCGGAACACCAGUGGCGAAGGCGACUCACUGGCCCGAUACUGACGCUGAGGCGCGAAAGCGUGGGGAGCAAACAGG
rnacentral:rRNA from 1 species